rnacentral:lncRNA from 1 species
GCAGAACAAGGCAGAGAAAACAAUCGAAUGCAGCGCGCGUCACAAACAAACCAACACAAACGCACGCCUGCACACAUUAGUCAAAAUCGCGUUUAUAUGAAGACGGACGUGGCGAGGUGAGGGUUUCGUGGCUCUUUGUGUGCCGGUGUACGAAUAAGUGCCGGUUUGUGACAGCUACUGUGACGGGUACGCUGGAAUACGAAAUUUGUGAAUUGCAAAUUAAAUAGCGCAAUCGAAGGCAAAGUACAUAAAUAAAUAAAUAAUUGAGUGAUGUGUAAAGAAGGCCAAAGUUAUCAAAGUGAAGCAGAUUAAUUGUGGACAGGGAACGCGUUGAUAGUGGUGAAAUGGGCUAUUCAACGCCUAAUGACCGCACUUUAAGUGGCAGAGUGGAGUAAUAAUUAAAUAUUUUGCCAAAAAACCUACAACUUGGAAGCAAGGAUAAUAAUUAGAUAAGAUUGCUACGCAAAACGACAAAAAAAUGAGCUAAACCCGAUAUAUAUUAAUACAAUCAUAAUCUGCUUGCACCAUGUUUGCGUGUAUGUGCAACGCGCACAGUUAUGACGUUCCGCUACGCUUCCAGCAAAAAAUGUCUUAACAGCGAUUUAGUGGCACAACCCAUCGCAGAUCGGCAUAACCGAAACAGAAGGUCGUGCUGUUUUUAGCCGCCGCAAAAGCACGCACCUCAACCACUAGGUGGUUUUACGUACCCGUUGCAUGACUGUCUGCUGUGCCGUCUUCAAACGGUAUGUGGAUUUAGCGUCACUUACGUAAGGACUUGCGAUAAAAAGUAGAAAAGCAGGUGCAGUGUGUCCCGCGUGGUCAUGUUGAGGCAGCCACAUUGCGACUGCUCAAAUUUCGUGGCGCGUCGUAAAUUCAAUUUGACAGUUUUUUCGGUGCGCGGCUCGAAGUGAAAUGCAAUAUAUCUGCAUGAUUGUAACGGUAAACAUUCACAGAGGCAAUUAAAGUGACGUUCAUAUUGGUGUUUGUGAGUUGCUACCAUUGUGAUGGACUAUACGCACCGCUGCUCCUGAGUGCCCACGCUCAAAUAAAUAAAUGCAAACUAUAACAGAUAAAUCUUUGAAUUGAAAUCUCCGAGCAAAUUUCUUAAAACUACUCUACCACAUGCAAAGGCGUGCAAUCCAAAGCAAACGACUUAACUGUGGAAAUUGCAUUUGCCAUCAAUUCGCUUAAAGUUAUUACGCGUUUAAUCGAGUUUAGACGUAUAUCAGUGUAAUAAUCGAUUCAAUCUGUGUCGAGAACAAUUUAUCGUCGUAUGCUCCACUUUUACACGACUGUGACCGAUGCGUGUGAAGCACAGUUAAAGCAAAAACAGUGACUGAAACCAUACAUACAAAUAGUCGAAAAGGAAUAUUGGCAGAGUGUGCAAAAACAUAUAUAUCUGUAUGUGUGUUUGAUACUAGCGUUGCAAGCAAGCAGCGUAUGUGUUGAGCUCAUCACAUAAAAGGCUAUGAAAGCUUAAGUCUAACGAUAAGCUGCUAUCGUCUCACUAACUGAAAUUGGUUUAUUAAUAACACCACUACACCACUACAAGCGCGUUAGCUGAAAGCGACAUUAUCUGCAAGCAAUAUCAGUAAACUGAACUCACGGGAUUAUAACGCUUUACUAAAGUAAAUAACAGCAACAACAAUCAGUUUGUUGUAAAAUUACGAAAAUAAAAAAUAGAAAAACUAAUCAAGAAUAGUGCAGCAGUGAAUGGCGGAAACCAUUGCAGGAUUGUGGUUGAAUUUGACUUGCAAAAAGUUGCUACAAUGGCUGAGUUGAAGAUAUCUACCUGUUGGGUCCAGUGAUAAAUAGGUCAAUACGUGGCUGUGUAUUCAGAAAUAAAUGAAGAGUUAGCAAAUAUUUUAAAAAUAGAAUUAAAAAACAUAACUACUAAUUUUUUUAAUCCUAUAUCCCAUAAUUUAUUACGAAAAUUCUUAAUAUUGUAAAUAAUUUUUGUUUUAAUUAGCAAAUGAGUUUUCUGAGCACUUUAUAAUUUAAGCUAAAUAAUGUGCCAUAAGAGUAUGAAAAAAGUGUCACAACCUGCUUAAUACAUGGAUUUACAAUAAGAGUGAUAUAACUAAAAAAAAAACACCAAUUGUGAAGCAAAUUCAAAAGUUUUUAAUAGAUGUAAAGUACAAACGAAACAAAUUACAAAUAAAAGUUGGCUAAUGUUCACAAAAAAAAGCAAUAAUUUACAUAUACAUUUACACAUAAAUAUACAUGAUUAUCUACUUAUAUACUGUAACAAAUUAAUAAUAAUAAAGUAGUAUUUUGAAUAUAAUAUUA